rnacentral:lncRNA from 1 species
GAUGAGAUUUAUUUAUUUCUUUUUAAGAAGAAGAUAGUACAUUAUUUCUUUUAUUUAUUUAAUAAAUAAAUUAAAUACUAAUUUUUUCUAACGUAAGUCAUGAAAAAGAGUUUGGUGGUUGAUACAUAAGGCUUUAUAUUCGAAUCCUAGUUGAUUUAUAUUUUUAUUUAAAUUUAUUUCUAGAAGAAAUGAAUGAAAUGUGUAGCAUGCUGACGAUUUCGAAAAAUAUUAAAAACAAUGGAACAACAAAAAAAAGACUUAAAC